rnacentral:rRNA from 1 species
GAGUUUGAUCAUGGCUCAGGAUGAACGCUAGCGGCAGGCCUAACACAUGCAAGUCGAGGGUAGAGGGUGCUUGCAUCCUUGAGACCGGCGCACGGGUGCGUAACGCGUAUGCAACCUGCCUUCCACAGGGGAAUAGCCCAGAGAAAUUUGGAUUAAUGCCCCCAUGGCACACCGAGACGGCAUCGUCUUGGUGUUAAAGUAACAACGGUGGAAGAUGGGCAUGCGUCCCAUUAGCUAGUUGGUAAGGUAACGGCUUACCAAGGCUAUGAUGGGUAGGGGUCCUGAGAGGGAGAUCCCCCACACUGGUACUGAGACACGGACCAGACUCCUACGGGAGGCAGCAGUGAGGAAUAUUGGUCAAUGGUCGCAAGACUGAACCAGCCAUGCCGCGUGCAGGAUGACGGUCCUAUGGAUUGUAAACUGCUUUUGUACGGGAAGAAACACUCCUACGUGUAGGGGCUUGACGGUGCCGUAAGAAUAGGAUCGGCUAACUCCGUGCCAGCCGCCGCAGU